rnacentral:rRNA from 1 species
CUUGUUUUUAACAAGAGUGACGGGCGAUAUGUGCAUAUAAAAUUUCAUUUUCAAUAUUUAUUAAUUCUUUAUUUAAAUUUAAUUUUAAGUCCUAUUUCAUUUUUAAUCAUUUAUAAUCCAAUUCUUUAAAUUGUAUCACACUUUAUUCUCAAUUAUAAUUUUCGUAUUGAUUUGCUUUUCUAUUAAAAAAUAUCAAAAAAAAUAUAAUUUAUUAUAUUUUUUUUAAACAAUGAUAUAAAAAAUAAAAAAAUUUAGAACAUUUUAUAGUGGGUUGUCUAUUACUUAGCAGGAUCCCCUAAAUAGAUUUUAUACCGCCAUAUUAAAUUAUUUUUUCUUCAUUUAGAUACUUUUUUAUUUACUUUAAAA